rnacentral:rRNA from 1 species
UCCUACGGGAGGCAGCAGUAGGGAAUCUUCCGCAAUGGACGAAAGUCUGACGGAGCAACGCCGCGUGAGUGAUGAAGGCUUUCGGGUCGUAAAACUCUGUUGUUAGGGAAGAACAAGUGCUAGUUGAAUAAGCUGGCACCUUGACGGUACCUAACCAGAAAGCCACGGCUAACUACGUGCCAGCAGCCGCGGUAAUACGUAGGUGGCAAGCGUUAUCCGGAAUUAUUGGGCGUAAAGCGCGCGCAGGUGGUUUCUUAAGUCUGAUGUGAAAGCCCACGGCUCAACCAUGGAGGGUCAUUGGAAACUGGGAGACUUGAGUGCAGAAGAGGAAAGUGGAAUUCCAUGUGUAGCGGUGAAAUGCGUAGAGAUCUGAAGGAAUACCGGUGGCGAAGGCGGCCCCCUGGACAGAUACUGACACUCAGAUGCGAAAGCGUGGGGAGCAAACAGGAUUAGAUACCCUGGUAGUCCACGCCGUAAACGAUGUCUACUUGGAGGUUGUGGCCUUGAGCCGUGGCUUUCGGAGCUAACGCGUUAAGUAGACCGCCUGGGGAGUACGGUCGCAAGAUUAAAACUCAAAUGAAUUGACGGA